UCUGAUUAGUUGUAGCUGGCUCUCCGGAGCAUGUGCACGCUGAUCACCUUUAUCUUUCCACCUGUGAACACACUGUAGUCCUGGAUACCUCUCGCCGCAAGGCGGAUGCGUCGUCUGCUGUGCUGCUCGUAAGAGCGGUCGGCUUACUUCGAAUUUCCAGGUCUAUGAUCAUACAAACCCCAAACGAAUGUAACAGAAUGUAAUCAUCAGGCUUUAUGCCUAUAAAUUUAUACAACUUUCAACAACGGAUCUCUUGGCUCUCGCAUCGAUGAAGAACGCAGCGAAAUGCGAUAAGUAAUGUGAAUUGCAGAAUUCAGUGAAUCAUCGAAUCUUUGAACGCACCUUGCGCUCCUUGGUAUUCCGAGGAGCAUGCCUGUUUGAGUGUCAUUAAAUUCUCAACCUCACCAAUUUUGUUAUGAGAUUGUGUGUUGGCUUGGAUGUGGGGGUUGCAGGUCCGCUUCGGUGGUCUGCUCCUCUGAAAUGUAUUAGUGGGUUUGGUCCCCUAAUCUAUUGGUGUGAUAAUUAUCUACGCCGUGGAUUGGAAGACUAUUAUGAACCUGCUUCUAACCGUCCCUUACCGGACAAUUUAUGACAUUUUUGGCCUCAAAUCAGGUAAGACUACCCGCUGAACUUAAGCAUAUCAAUAAGCGGAGGAAAAGAAACUAACAAGGAUUCCCCUAGUAACUGCGAGUGAAGCGGGAAAAGCUCAAAUUUAAAAUCUGGCGGUCUUCGGCCGUCCGAGUUGUAAUCUAGAGAAGUGUUACCCGCGUCGGACCGUGUACAAGUCUCCUGGAAUGGAGCGUCAUAGAGGGUGAGAAUCCCGUCUUUGACACGGACUACCGAGGCUUUUGUGGUGCGCUCUCAAAGAGUCGAGUUGUUUGGGAAUGCAGCUCAAAAUGGGUGGUAAAUUCCAUCUAAAGCUAAUAUUGG
rnacentral:rRNA from 1 species